UACUACAAGUUAGAGGCUUAGGUUCUUAGGGGUCAGAAAGAAACUUAAUAUUUAAGAAAACAGUUACUGCCAUAAAAAAAUAAUUAAGAGAAUACUUUGACAAAAAAAGGAAAAAAAAGAAAGGAAUCAAGAGACACGUAAUAUUUCAUGGCUAACCCUAGCACCCUAGAUGUCGAACGCUGAGACAUUUAUAGAACACUAUAAUUGUUAUUUAUGUCGAAACCAAAAUAGUAGAUUCGAUGAUUCUUAAAUAAAACAUACAUACGAAUUGUAAUACGUCAGCGUAACUAUAAAUAUAUGACAUCAUUAUGUGCUUGGAUAACUGGAUGAUCACAAGAAAUAAAUAAUAAUAGAAAAAUAUGGGUAAUUAAUAUUUGUUUAUCGCGUUUCAAACUAGUAUAGUAAUAUUUGCAGAGUAAAUAACUGUCGAAAAGCUUCUUAGAAUUUAGAACAACAUCGGUGAUCUCUCACCAAAAUAUUUCACUAAAUAAUCAAUAAAAAGGUAAAAAUAAAAAGAGUGAUGAAACUCUCAAAUAAUGGAGACCCCUAUCCACUUGUUUUAAUUUAAAUGAUCAUAAUUUUUAGCCUUAACAUUUAAUUAUAUAGUUAAAAAAUUUAAAUAUCAAUUUAUUAUUGCGGAUAUUUUUUAUCUACAAAAUCGAUAAGUAAAAAUGCUUUUAGUAAAACAGUAUUUGAGUCUUUCCCAAAUUUCUCAUCUUUAAAAUAAGAAAAAAAAAUUGAAAGAAAAAUAAAGUGAGCCAAAAAAGGAAGAAGCAUUUUAAAAAAUUACAAAGUAUAUGAGAAAUUUAUGUGUGAUAUUACUUUAUGAAUAAUUAUUUUUAUUAUAUAAUGAAUUAUAUUAAUAUUUAAGACAUGAAAUACUCUAUGGAAAAUUAUACUAGACUACUAGUAAUGUAGAAUAGCAAAAUUAGAUGGAUAAGCAAAUUAACAAAAAAA